AUCGAACGCUGGCGGCAGGCUUAACACAUGCAAGUCGAGCGAGCGGCGGACGGGUGAGUAAUGUCUGGGAAACUGCCUGAUGGAGGGGGAUAACUACUGGAAACGGUAGCUAAUACCGCAUACCAUCAGAUGUGCCCAGAUGGGAUUAGCUAGUAGGUGGGGUAAUGGCUCACCUAGGCGACGAUCCCUAGCUGGUCUGAGAGGAUGACCAGCGAAGCGGAAACUGAAACAGGGUCCAGACUCGUACGGGGGGAAGCAGUGGGGAAUAUUGCACUAUGGGCUCAAGCCUGAUGCAGCCAUGCCGCGUGUAUGAAGACGGCCUUCGGGUUGUAAAGUACUUUCAGCGGGGAGGCGUUACCCGCAGAAGAAGCACCGGCUAACUCCGUGCCAGCGGCCGCGGUAAUC
rnacentral:rRNA from 1 species